CCUGAGUUCAUCAUUGGUAUUAUGACUGCUGCUGCUGCUGCUAAGUCGCUUCAGUCGUGUCCGACUCUGUGCGACCCCAUAGACGGCAGCCCACCAGGCUCCCCUGUCCCUGGGAUUCUCCAGGAACUGUCUCCAGGAGCUGCAACUCGCUCCCUCAAGAAAAGUACUUAUCCCCACCAGCAGGGGGCAAAACUGAGAUACCUUCUGAGGGUUCCACCCCAGCUCUGGACGGCUUUGAGAAAGUGCCUUCACAUCCAAUCUCAACACCUUUGAUUUAUUCUUUAUUUUCAAAUGAGGGGCCCCUGGGGUAUCUCGACUCACAACUGCAAGGAAGCCGGAGCCGGCGCUGCGACGCUGAGCGGACCAGCGGGGCCAUUCUGGCCGCUGGCUGUGGCCGACCUGGGAGAGAGGAAGGAAAUGUAUUUUCGGGACUCUCCCAGCCGGCGUUGGAAACGCGGCAGCAGAUUCUCAGCUCCAUUCCCGCGGCGGUCGGCUUCUCAGACUCACGCGGGAUCCUGGGUAGCGACCUCAGUGAAGGGAGCGCGGGCAUCUGAGCUUGGCGAUGCCACCGAGACACAGGCUUCGGACCGAGUUUUGACCCGCCUGUGCCUCUUCUUCCUUUUCUCUAGCCAGCGGCUACCGCUGCCCAGCUUCAUCCAAAGGGGGCACUCGGGGCUAGGCCGAGAACCCUAGAUAAGGUCCACUGUAACUAAGAACCCGGGGUUAAGUGGAGGCCAUCCCACUGGACUCCGCAGUCUUCCACUUCUAAGGAUGUUCCUGGCUAACCUCCCUCCUCUUUCUCUCUCACCUCUCCAUAGUAAGCAGAAGUGGCGCUCUUGUUGGCAAGGAUCGGAAUGGCGGAAGCUUGUGCCUUCUCUCUUUGCUCCGUUUCUCGCGUCUUCACACGGUUGUCUCACUCGGAGACUCCUAAAUUCUGCCUGGGGAACACUUUCCGCGUUAAUUA
ensembl:lncRNA